CUGGAAGCCAUCGUGGCCGAAUCACCAGUGCACGGGUCGUCCGCAUCUCCUCUCCCUCUACAGCCGUUCCUUGGGAGUUCCCUCACCGGCGCCUCAUCCUCUCUAUCCCUCCCCACGCAGAAGUCGUCCCCUGCCCCUCCCAUGGAGCACCAGUCGCCUAGCCGAGCUCUCGGCGCCGGACCCCCUCCCCACACCAGCCAUCUUCCACAGCCGCCCCCAGCCAUCUCCCUGGUGGCCAACCUCACCACUCUCGCCCUGGCUGCACUCGUCGGCGUCACUUGCCACGGCACCCUCCAUGGCCGAGCUCCUCCCCUAUGGCUCGUCUUCCCCACGACGCCCUCCCUCCAUUCCUUUUCCUCCAUGGCCGACACCCCCAUCUCCACUAGCCAGCGCCCCCUCCCUCAUCCUCUUCCUCAAGCUGAGCUCGCCCUAGCUCCAACUUCAACCAUGGACGACGACCUCCCCUUCCUGCUGCACGCCGGCAUCCUCCCCAUGCCAGCUGCACGCGCGCCGUGA
rnacentral:misc_RNA from 1 species